rnacentral:rRNA from 1 species
UACGGAGGGUGCAAGCGUUGCUCGGAAUUAUUGGGCGUAAAGGGUAGGUAGGUGGUCUCAUUUGUCUAGGGUGAAAGCCUUGAGCUUAACUCAAGAAGUGCCCUAGAAACGGUGAGACUAGAGUCCUGGAGAGGGUCGUGGAAUUCCCGGUGUAGCGGUGAAAUGCGUAGAGAUCGGGAGGAACACCAGAGGCGAAGGCGGCGACCUGGACAGGUACUGACACUCAACUACGAAAGCGUGGGGAGCAAACAGG